AUCAUACAUAGAACCCAGGAGAAAAUAUCUCUUAAUACUCUAAGUGUUUAAUAUACAAAUCAAAACACGUAAUAUAUACUAUACGUAUACCUAUAUACGCCGCAGUGACUUCGAGCAUCGACCACCACUCCGAAUACUAUUCCGGACAUGCAUUUGAGUCGACGUGGUGCUGCUGUAGCUGUAUUAGGUGGUUUAUUGUAUGUCAUCGGUGGUCACGACGGAGCUUCUAUUUUAGAUUCUGUAGAAUCUUAGUUCUUACAACCCUAAAACUAACACCUGGACCAUGAUCACAGCGACAAUGAAUGUUACAAGGAGAUUUGCAAAAGUUGUAGCCAUUGAUAUGCCACGAUAUAUUAAAACUUGUUAGAAUUCACAUUAUUUUUUUGAUUCAAUAUACUAUUAUUUUCUCAUUUUGUAUAA